rnacentral:lncRNA from 1 species
GUGCGUGAGCCAGGGACUCAGGCCUCAGACAGGGCUCUCCCUUGUAGUGAGCAGAGUGGCCCUGGCCCUUAUUUGAGGUGGUCACCUGGGCGCUGCUACUGCUACCACUCCAGGGCUGCUUCGCGGAGCCACUGUCUUUGGGCUUUAGCUCCCACCACUCCUUCCCAGCAGGCGUGGGUUCUUAGACUUCAGUGGACCACCUUUAACUGGAAAGCGUGCUUCCUUCCCAACAGAACAAGCGGACCAACUUGAAGAAGCCCAACUCGGAGCGGACGGGGCACGGGCUGAGAGUCCGGUUUAACCCCCUGGCACUGCUCCUAGACGCGUCUCUGGAAGGAGAGUUCGAUCUGGUGCAGAGGAUCAUCUAUGAGGUGGAAGAUCCCAGCAAGCCCAACGACGAAGGGAUCACCCCACUGCACAACGCCGUCUGCGCCGGCCACCAUCACAUCGUGAAGUUCCUGCUGGAUUUUGGUGUCAACGUGAAUGCUGCUGAUAGUGAUGGAUGGUGAGGCCCGUAGGAGUGUGGGGUGGACAGAUUUACUUUCCCUGCUUUGCAUAAGGAAAACAGGCGUGUUCUAGACAAUUAGGAAGCACGGAAGAGAGAAUUAGAGCAAGAACACCCAUCAUUUCAUCCUUGAAAGACAGCUGUUGCCAGGGUUUCCUUGCCUUUUUUUCCAGCCUUUUCUCUUGAUGAUUUUGUUAAAAACGUGGCUGUGGUUAUGCUCUUUCUGUGCCUCGUCAUUAACAUUGCAGUCUAAGCAUUCUGUGAAUCAUUCCAUCUUCCCCUUCUCAUAU